rnacentral:rRNA from 1 species
UACGAAGGGGGCUAGCGUUGCUCGGAAUUACUGGGCGUAAAGCGCACGUAGGCGGCUCUUUAAGUCGGAGGUGAAAUCCUGGAGCUCAACUCCAGAACUGCCCUCGAUACUGAAGAGCUCGAGUCCGGGAGAGGUGAGUGGAACUGCGAGUGUAGAGGUGAAAUUCGUAGAUAUUCGCAAGAACACCGGUGGCGAAGGCGGCCAACUGGACCAUUACUGACGCUGAGGCGCGAAAGCGUGGGGAGCAAACAGG